rnacentral:pre_miRNA from 2 species
CCUCUUCAAGGCCUAAUCCAGAGCCCAUUGAAGUCAGUGGGAAUCUUUCUAUUGACUUCAGUGGGCUUUGGAUCAGGCCUUGGGAGCU